ensembl:lncRNA
GUUUCCUUAUAAAAAGGGGAAAUGUGGACACAGAGAGAGGGAAGAAAAGUGAAGACGCAGGGAGAAGAUGGCUCCGUGACUGAGUGACUCAUCUGCAAACUGAAGAAUGCCUAGGCCUGCCAGAAGCUAGGAGAGAGGCCUGGAAAACGUCCUUCCCCAGGGCCUUCGGAGGGAGCAUGGCCUUUCUAAGCCUUGAUUUUGGACUUCCAGCCUCCAAACUUGUGAGACAAUAAAUUUCCAUUAUUCUAAGCAACCCAGUUUAUGGUACUUUGUUACUGCAGCCCUUAGCCAACUAAUACAGAGCCUUUGAUCAAAUCUGGACCAGGAUUAAGAGGGUUUUAGAUCGCUUUCCUAUUUCCAUUACAGGGAGCAAGUUCCUUUAGGCUUUUACCCUUUUUCUGGCAACUCUAAGCCAGCACUUCAUAUAAAAUAGCCAGAGAGAAAGCCCACUCUAUGUAGAGUUUAUGAAGAUCACUUUCUCACACUAUCCUUUUUCAAAAAUCCAUCACUUUGAAUUAAGAAAAUAAUCCCGUGAAGAAAACCUUGGAAAUAUUUCCUACAAUCAAUAAUUAGCCAAUUGCCUUAGUUUCCUAUAACUGCUAUAAUAAAAGAGGUCUCUCUCCUCCCUUUUUGUUUCUGUUGCUUCAUCACUGUUACUGUCUUUGAACCUCCUACCUCCCUCUUAUAAAGGCCCUUGUGAUUACAUUGAGCUCAGCCCGAUAAUCCAGAAUAACCUCCUCAUCUCAAGAUUGUUAACAUCAUACCUUCAAAGUCCUUUUUGCCAGGUAAGAUAAAGUAUUCACAGACUCUGAAGAUUAGGAUGUAGACAUCUUUAGAGGACCAUUAUUCAGUCUACGACAACAAUAUAACCUAAGGGAUCCUGACGCAAAAUAAAAAAUGAGGAUGCUCUCUCACAGGUACGACGUGGAAACAGACUCAGAUAGAAUCAACUCCAUAAUUUUCAAAAGGAGAAGAGUUCAGUCAUUAAAUUCUUUACUCAUUAAGCUCCAUAGAUAUCAGAACAUCAUUUGAAGAUGCUUGUUUCUCCUCUGCCCAAGAUGAGAGUCAAAAGUAUGUAUUGACUUCAAGAAAAUCUAACAAAAACUUUCAUAUCUUUACAGCAGUGUUGGCAGACUUUGAAUCCUAUUACUGAAAAAAGAAAAUUAAUCAGUUCUUGAAAGUGUCAAGAACAGAGAAAAAAUGCUAAGAUAAGGCUGCUUCUGUGAGCCAAUGGGAAUUUUAUACAUAGUAGGCCUUCAAGAGUUGUUUGCUGAGAGUGAUUGAGUCAUCACCGAAGUUAGAUGGAGAAAAAAAUUAAGUCGAGUUCACUGUGCUCUGCUCCUGUCUCCUCUAUCAAUUAGCAAGAAUAAAGCCAACUCAAUAAGGUGAAAAGUACAAACCUUUCAAGUCUAGAAUAAAUAAGCACAAGGUCUAGAUCAUUACUAUAACAGGGAAAAAUUGGAAAAUCUGGUUUAGACAUUGCUAUUAUACUUUAGAAUUUAACUGUAGCUUCAAUUUUGAGAAACAGAUUUGAUUCUGUACUGCUUCAAACACAAUCAGGACAAAAUCUAGGUUGAAAUAGCAAGGAGUACAAAAAUAAAAAUAAAAAACUCAGAAUUGAGGAAAUUGAACUUGUCUAAAAACUCUGACAAUGAUCAGGAAUCAAUAUCUGAUAAAAUCUCUAUAGACUAGGACUGAAAACAACUUAAUUAAGUGAAAUUAUUGAUUGGGGCAUGUAGUAUAAUGGUUACUUUAUGUAUGUAAUGAGCAUCUAAAAGUAAAAGUAUUUCAGAAAUAUGCCAAAUUUUAUUAUAUCAACUCAGAGCUCUAUUAUUUUAAUGUCUACUAUUCUUAAUGUUCCAAUUUCCCUUGAGAAAUGAAAGAAAUCCCAGUGAACUGAAUGCCCACCUCAAAAGGUGCUUUGAUGUGAGGGUAAUAAAAAUAAUAACAGCUAUCACUUAUCAAGUGCUAACAAUAUGUCAGACACUACAUGCUCUAUCACUGCGCAAAUUAUGUCACUUACGUCUUUCAACAUCCUAAUGAGAUCUUAUACAGCCCUUAUUUAUAUGGGGAAAUUAAGCUCAAGAAAAAUUUGGUUAUGUAGCUUGAUAAUACAUGUAGUAUGUAAGAAAGCUCAAAUUGGAAUCCUUGCCUAUGACAUAGCACAUGAUUUUAACAACAACCUAGCCAACUUCUCACUUUUACUUACUCCCUUAUUUACCCACUGUCCACUGUCCACUGGAAAAUGUUGGUUAAUUUAAGACUCAGAUGAAAGGUCAUUACCCAUCAGACUAUUUCUCUAAUAUUCUAGGCAUAGUCUAAUGCAUCAUGCUUCUGCUGAUCUAUAGAGAAUAUACAAAAGUUAUUUAACUUUAAGCUUUUCUAUAGCUGAGAGCAUUAUUUCCUGGCGGAAGCUCCUGCAUGAACUGAUAAGUACAGGAUUACUGAUAAUAUGCAAUUUACAACCAUAAUGAGAAUAGCCAAAUAUUACUUAACAAAAGAACAUUGAACACCUUUAACAAUUUCAGGGGAUUUGCAGGCAUCAGAAUGGAUGUAGAAAUACGAGUGACCAGAUAGUUAGAUUCAAUUUCUGAGCUUGCUCAUUGUUACAACUCUAUUGAGAAUUUCCCAAUUUGCACAUCACUCUUUCUUCUACACUUUCAAUGUGCUAACUCUGAUAGCCGCCUCUCCCCACCCCUUUCCUUUCUCUCCCUCCCUCCUUCUCCCUCUCUCUUCAUACAUCUCCCUUUCCCAGAGGUCACUAACAAAUUGCUUUCCUAAGCAAACUAUUGAAAGAUUAAAUUUGUCUUCAACAUAUCUUCUCCAUAACCCACACCAAGUAACAUAUUGCCACGGCAGUUCACUCUAGCUACCAGUAAAAUGUAGAGAUUGAAAGCAUAAACUAGCUAAUAUAAUUAACUUAUAGGUGUCCUAAGAGUACUGGGAAGUCACUUUCGUUGCAAUUGCAAUGGAGUCUUGGGGAUGAUUUCCAGCAGUGGCCAGCACUGAGCACCCCUAGCAAGCUUUGGUGAAGUGGCCUGGCUCUAAGAUCAAUUGCACACAGGAAAAUUUAAAUACUUUAAGUUAUAUUAAUACACAAAAUAAUACAAUGUUAACUAAAAUAAAGUGAAAAGAGAUUGUAUCUGCUGGGGUGAUAUUCUUGUGAAUGAGUAGGAAGGUGACACCUUGUCCUUGAAGGACUAAAUCCUCCUGACACAUGGUUACUUGGGUGCCUGCCGUCAGAUCUUUAGGACAGCAGCUGUGUCUGUGUGCUAUUGCUGCAUCCAAACUGUGAAUGAUUAGACCAGAGCAAUCCACACAUGUCAAAAUUUGAUGAAGCAGGUCCAUUUCCUAGAUAUUCUGGGACCAUUUUCUGCAAAGGGCAGUGUUUUGCUUGUUUAUAAUGACUGUGGUUACUCUUACUGACAAGUGAUAGCCUUUUGUGCAGAGGUAUAACCAGUUCCUAAUGUACUUUCAGGAUUUCCAGACAGAAAUGUUUAUUAUUGGAGAUAUGCUCACAAAUACCUCAGUAUCUCUUCACUGAUAACUUCUUCUAUGCCUCCUAUUUCCUAGCUUCAUAUUAGGGCCUUUAGGAGUUGUUAUUUUCCUUUAGAUUAUGAUGUGAUGGCAAAGGCAGGAUGUGGUGUCCUCAGGAGGGUAUCUGAUAAACUCGAAUAACUAACACUAUGUGACAUCCCGUCUACAUUCCUGAGGAUCUAAAUGAUGCCUGAGAGGUGUCUCUAAGUUAUUCAACAUUAUUAAAAAUUGUGAACAACUUUCCUGAACUUGAUGCUUUGAAAAUUAAAUCACUCUAAUUUCUUCUCUUAAAAUCCUUUAACCUAAGCAUGAAGGCCUUUAACAUGGCCAGGUAGGAAGUUAUGACAUCAGUAUAACUAAAAAUAGGAGCGGAGUUUGAGUAAAAGAAAUGUGUUUUAUUAACAUUAUGAUAUAACUAUACCACCCAGUCGUAGUAACUGCAAGGAAGUCGUUGCUGAGAACUGGCACAAAUACCCAGUUGCCCUCCCAGAAUGUAGCUCUUUAAAUCCAGGCUGAAAUUUGCAGGGUUUUUUUUUUUUUUUUUUGGAGGAAGAUUAGCCAUGAGCUAACUGCUGCCAAUCCUCCUCUUUUUGCUGAGGAAGACUGGCCCUGAGCUAACAUCUGUGCCCAUCUUCCUCUACUUUAUAUGUGAGACACCUACCACAGCAUGGCUUGACAAGCAGUGCCAUGUCCUCACCUGGGAUCAGAACUGAGUAACCCCAGGCCGCCUAAGUGGAACAUGAGCACUUAACCACUGCGCCACUGGGCCGGCCCCUGCAGUUGCUUAAAGUGACUUUAGACCCAACUUCUUUCAAGGGCAUGUUGUUUAUGUAAAGUUGGAAACUUCAGCUGAGCAUAAUGCUUUUUGUAAGAAUAGAUGUGUAGAAUAUUAUAAAUGGUAAUAAAUAGCAACUGUGGCUUUUAAAAUCAAUUCCAUAUAAACAUACAGUAUAGAUUCCUAUACAUAUAUAGUACUAUCAAAUCAAAUAAGAACAUGUGGUCAAGAAAACAUCAUACAAUGAGAAAAUAUCAAAAUCAAUUUUAAAAAACUAUUUUCUUUGGGCCAGCCAGUGGUGUAGUGGUUAAGCUUAUGCACACUGCUUCUGCAGCCUGGGGUUCGCCAGUUGAGAUCCUGGGUGUGGACCUAGCCCUGCUCAUCAAGCCAUGCUGAGGGAGUAUCCCACAUAGAAGAACUAGAAUGAAAAGAAAGAGGGAGAUUAGCAACAGAUGUUAGCUCAGGGCCACUCUUCCUCACCAAAAAAAAAAAAAAAAAAAAGUUUCCUACAGCUGUUAUAACAAAGGACUAAAGAGUGGCUUAGAACAAUAGAAAUUAAUUGUCUCACCAUUUCAGAGGCUAGAAGUCUAACAUCAAGAUGUCAGCAGGCAGUGCUCUCUCUGAAACCUGACAGGGAGGAUCGUUCUCUGUGUCUUCCAGCUGCUGUUAGUCCAUGGUGUCCUUGUCUUGUGGCAUUCUCCUAUUCUCAUCACAUAAUCUUCCCUCUGUUCAUAUCUGCCUCUGUGUCCAAAUUUCUAUAUUUCAUAAAGACAUCAGUCAUUGGAUUAGGAUCCACUCAAAAUGACCUCAUUUUGACUUCAGUAUCUCUGUAAAGACCCUAUUUCCAAAUAAGGUCAUAUUCUGAGUACUGGGAGUUAGGACUUCAACACAUCUUUUUUUAAGAGGGAUAUGAUUCAACCUAUAACAAGUUACAAAUAUUUUUAUUUGAAUUUGGAAAAUUUCUAGGAUUUCUCCUUAAAAGCCUGUGCAUUUUGCCCUUUGGUGACACAGUGUAUUAAGUUCCAUUCUUAUAACAUUUCUGCUUUUUGUGAAAUAUUAGAAUUCCCUCUGAUCACAGCUAAAAGAUUUAUGAUACCCAACUUUGUUCCGUAGAUGAGAUUGGAGGCAAAGAUAGAAUCCUAUGAUACUGAUUUAUUAGAAUUAAACUAGAAUAGUUGUUUUAUGUAAGUCCCUGUUUAAAGGAAGGCAAAUAAAUUAAUUUUGCUCAACACAAAUUGCUGUUUUCCACAUUACUUUGAUUUUCAAAUCCUUCGCAAACUGAUAUUUUCCUCUCACUUUGGGUGUCUACUCUGUUAUUUCAACGUAUUUCUGGAUAACUGUGGCGAUUCCGAGAAACGAGACUAGCUCGUUUGACUUAUCAAAUGUUUAGUUGUUUGUGGAGAAUUGUCUUCGUCCUUUCUUUGCCGGUGGAGCAGAGCACUGAAUGUGGAGAUGAGCAGUCGUUCAGGUGUCAUUUUCUAAGCACUAGUGCAGGAUCUCUAAGUAGGAUACUUCCAUGUUGGGAAUUUCAAAAUAGCAACUCGACCUUUAUAUUGCAACGAAUUACCAUGCAACUUUUAUUGAGAAAUAAAUUAGGAAGUUGGGUUUUUCGUUUUUGUUGGUCACUGUCUUCUGAGUUUUCUAGUAAAAGAUAAUGCCACGAUUUACGUUCCUCGGAAGCAGACUCUAUGAUGGCGUUUACCAGGCAGUUCGUUUAUUCAGGAGUCUCUUUGGGAUCAGCGCUCAAAAGUGAGAAGUCAACACUGGGCACAAGAAGCAACUGAACAGUGAUGCAGACCCAAGACAGUCUUGGUCAAUCCCAGGGAAAGUUCUGGAGGUAGAAUGGUCCUUCAGAGUUGUCUCUUAUUGCGUUGAGCUGGCCAGGCCAUUAUAAUCUCUUAGGGAUCAGGAUGUGAGCCAUGGAGGAAAGGCGCCAUCUUGGGGAGACAAUCUUCUCCAGCUGAGGCGAUCCCUAAAGGACCUGAUAACUGACAGAUAUAUGCCCACAACCCACCCAAGAACUGAGACAAGUCCUUCUUUUCUGGGGAAUCUGGGCAGUGUGUCCCAGUGUGCACCACAGGGAAAAGAUUCCUAUAAUAAUUUUGAGAUGUGUUUUCACUGCCUAUGCACUCAUAAUGUGGAUCCACAGAAGCUAUGAAAAACAUUUAAUGUUGUAUUCAUUGCAUAACAAUAUAAAAAACAACUCUAAGCUUAUAUUUUUGUUUUCACUUCCCUUAUUAAUCUUCUUUGGAUAGCAUAUAACAGAACAUUGCUUCACCUCUGUUGUAACUUGAAUUAGAGAAUAUGAAUAUGGAGUUAUUUCUACUCAAAAAUUGCUAAACUGUGUAAAUGAUACCAUCAUCCUGAUCUAAUGUUUUUUAAUGUGAAGAAGUGUGUGUAUGUGUGUGUGUGUGAAUGGGGACGUGUUUGUAGUCCUGAGAAUAACAUCAUUCUGUUACCAAGCAUUUUACAUUCGUCUUGGCUAUAGCCUGGGAAAAUAUGAUAGAUACAUGUAGGUGCUAGUCUCCUAUUCCUAACGCCGUCCUUGAAUUCUCCAGAAACCAAGCAAUAUCUUGGGCUCAGAAAGUCCAAAUCUAUUUUAUUUGUUGAUAUUUCCACCUCCAGUAUGCAUAAUGCCUCAUUAACAAUUGAAUAGAGAAAUAGUAAACUUUCAGUCUUGUCAGCAGAAUCAUUCUGAAUUGUGCUAAAAUAAGAGACUGGGAGGACACAACUCGUAUUCUGAUGACAAAGGAAGUGAUUUUUAGAGAAAAUAGAUAUCUUUUAACUUAGGAAUCAACAGCCUUGAUGAGAAAGUUUUCGAGAGAGUGCAAAAAAUGUAACCUUGUUGCCCCUAUCAUUUUCCCUGUCACAUUUGUCUCUAAACACCUAAGAGUAGGUCUGGUCAGUCGUAACUACAUCCUGCUAAUGUACGAUGUCUGUUCAGUAUGGAUUUUUUCUAUUCUGAGGUUCAGUUAAAUUUAUAACAGCUCCUGAAAUAUGACAAAAUUUUCCUUUCCAAUCAAGUUAGUCAAAAUGCCAGCUUGGAUUAUUGAAAUAGAUCUCUAUCUGGGUUCCCAACCUCUCCUGCUCAGAAUCAAAACUAGUUUAAUUUUCCAAACGUGCAGCUGGGUUUGAACCACAUCUCUGCUCAAAAAACUCUAUGUACCUCAGCGCAUAUAAAAUUAAAUAAAACCUCCGUGCUGGAUUCAAGGUCAUUUGUAAGAUUGUUUUAGUCCAUAUUUAAGCUCUGAAUUCACACUACUCUUACUGAUGGCCCCUAUUGUAUCACACCACUCGAACCCCCAACCUGCAUGAGCCCAAUCAAAUGAAGCUAAAGUGAACUCCAGGGUCUUAAAUUAAAAGUCUGUAUGAUGAAAUAUACCCACCAGCCCUCUCCCAUGUUGACAGAUAAGUUAAUUGACUAAAUUUUUAAAAUUUUCCUCAACUCCACUGUUCUAGAAGUUUUACAAAAAUACUUUUAUUUUAUUGUCUUCCUAAUUAUACAUUUCCUUCUUUCCUUCCUUCCCUUCUCUCCUUUUCUUUUGUCCAUCCUGUUCUUCUUCUGAGAACUGCUUUCAAGUUUGCAAUUUCAUCCCCACUACGUGGAGAACAAUAUUCAACAAUGUAUUCCAAGAUGGAUCUGACUCGUAAAUACGCCACUUAUGAGAUGACUGUAUGCAUUUGACAUGCUCUUCACUCUUCUAUAAAUUAUUUUAUUUUACUUACUUUUAAAAUGAUGCAGCAACUUUCUGAAUUGAUAUUCAUAUAAACAGACAUAUUUAUUCCACAGUUUAGAUUUUGGGGUUUAAAAAAAAUCUUCUUCGGUAUGCCAAUCUGGCAAUAAUCACUAUAUUGCACCAUUCUUUCAUUUCAGCAGACCAUUUGAACCUUGUGUGUAAUUAUGAUCUGCCAGUCUAUUUGUCUUUGGAAAUUAUAACUCUGUUCUUUAAUCUUCUUUGUUUUUAACGAAGAGCUUAAUUGGUGUUUUAGACAACUGCGUUGAUAAUUACGGAAAUGUUUUUUGAUAAAUUUUCCCAUGGUGCGACAUAAAAAAUGCAAAUAGAUGAGAAC